CACCGCCCGUCACACUAUAGGAGCUGGCCAUGUUUGAAGUCAUUACCCUUAACCGUAAGGAGGGGGAUGCCUAAGGCUAGACUUGCGACUGGAGUGAAGUCGUAACAAGGUAGCCGUACUAGAAGGUGCGGCUG
rnacentral:ncRNA from 1 species